rnacentral:tRNA from 1 species
GGGGGUAUAGCUCAGUAGUGGAGCGCGUGUUUGGUGUGCACAAGGUCUUGGGUUCAAUCCCCAGUGCCUCUG